GACGAACGCUGGCGGCGUGCUUAACACAUGCAAGUCGAACGGAAAGGCCCUGCUUUUGUGGGGUGCUCGAGUGGCGAACGGGUGAGUAACACGUGAGUAACCUGCCCUUGACUUUGUGAUAACUUCAGGAAACUGGGGCUAAUACCGGAUAGGAUCUCCUGCUGCAUGGUGGGGGUUGGAAAGUUUCGGCGGUUGGGGAUGGACUCGCGGCUUAUCAGCUUGUUGGUGGGGUAGUUGCUUACCAAGGCUUUGACGGGUAGCCGGCCUGAGAGGGUGACCGGCCACAUUGGGACUGAGAUACGGCCCAGACUCCUACGGGAGGCAGCAGUGGGGAAUAUUGCACAAUGGGCGGAAGCCUGAUGCAGCAACGCCGCGUGCGGGAUGACGGCCUUCGGGUUGUAAACCGCUUUCGCCUGUGACGAAGCGUGAGUGACGGUAAUGGGUAAAGAAGCACCGGCUAACUACGUG
rnacentral:rRNA from 1 species